rnacentral:rRNA from 1 species
CCUACGGGAGGCAGCAGUGGGGAAUAUUGCACAAUGGGGGAAACCCUGAUGCAGCGACGCCGCGUGAGGGAAGAAGUAAUUCGUUAUGUAAAGCUCUAUCAGCAGGGAAGAAAAUGACGGUACCUGAGUAAGAAGCCACGGCUAACUACGUGCCAGCAGCCGCGGGAAUACGUAGGGGGCAAGCGUUAUCCGGAUUUACUGGGUGUAAAGGGAGCGUAGACGGGGGUGCAAGUCUGGAGUGGAAGGCGGGGGCUCAACCCCCGGACUGCUCGGGAUACUGUACGGCUGGAGUGCAGGAGAGGUAAGUGGAAUUCCUAGUGUAGCGGUGAAAUGCGUAGAUAUUAGGAGGAACACCAGUGGCGAAGGCGGCUUACUGGACUGUAACUGACGUUGAGGCUCGAAAGCGUGGGGAGCAAACAGGAUUAGAUACCCGAGUAGUC